UGGAUGCAGGAAAAAACGGAGAUGAGACGUACAGGAUGACCUUUCAUAUUCUUUUUUUUGCCAAAUAAAUGAAAAACUUGUUGAAAUCAUCAAUGUCUUCCCUCUUGCUGUAUCAAAAUCUCACCUAGCUUUCCUCAGAUGUCCCAAGAAUGUGCUUAAAGUCAAGUCAAAUUCAGUUUGUGCAUGAUUACAUGAUAUAACUAUUUAAUAGUGUAUCCUACAUUGUGGUUAAUUAAGCUAAAUAUAAUAUGCUGAAGUAUAUUUCUGGAGUGUUAAAGAUUAAAAGAAAAAAUACCAAGAACCGUACAGAACCGAAAACCGUGAUACGAACCGUGGGUUUUGUGAGCUGUGCCGCCCCUAAUCGAGAUUGUUUAUUGUAUCAUUAAUGAUCAGCGUUUUAUCUCAUUUAAAUAAAAACAAAACAGUGCUUUGCAUUCAUUCCUGUCAAGAUUACAGCAUCAAAUGCCAAAGUAAAAGCCAAGGCACUGUAAAGUGAUCAACAUAUUUGAAGCAGUGUUUGUAAUCAUUUUCUUUUUCUUUUUUAUAAUGGUACAGUAUUCUGUACAACAAACCAUAUACUGUACCUGUAUGCAUAAUGUUUUAAUGCAUAAUGUCUUUUCACUAAUUUUUCUUUCCGUUUCUAUUUAUCUUGCUUCUUGUUGAUGUCAAUCACGUGGAAAAGUAUCUUCUCUCUUUCUUAUUUUUCUUCCAAGUCACACUAAUUAUGUCUCAAACAAACAACAUUCCACAAGCUGGACCUACUUCUGGAUAACACCUAUCAUAUCAUUGUUUCAAUAUAUCCACUCUCACCUUUAUCAGGUUCAGCAAGGGAAAGUUGGUCAUUUGCUGUUUUAAUACAAGCAAACCCACUAUAGUUUCACACUGGAAUCAGCUAUGUUGAGAAAACUGUCUCAAAAUGUGUUGAAGUUGUUUUUUGUCAAUGACCAAAAGUACAAGACGAAACUAUAAGCCUUAACCAAGCAGGAGUGAAUGUUGUUUGAUAACUGAGAAUUUGCACAGUAGCCUUAAGUGAAUACAUAAUACCACUGAGUUUGAUGAAAAUGAUUUGCUGCCUCUGAUGCAGCAUUUAUAUUGCAGAUGAGUGAUUUUAGUACUAAUCAUAAACAAUGUUUUGGCUUUGAAAUGUUACAGGUUAAUUACAAUACUAAUCUUACAUCCUUGGGUGAUCUUAUUGGCUCUUUUUCAUUAUGCUAGUAGUUUAUAUAAUAUAUUUUAUGUGUUUAAUACAACCAUUUGAUUUGUAUAAUAUUAAUAACCUUAUCUAAUAUUCAAGUGUGUGAUUACAUUUUCAUUCCAAAAUGAAUGAACUGUAAAAAAACAAACAAACAGGUAUAUGGUAAUGUAAUAGGGAGUCAACAAUAUGCUAAUGGCAAUAAAUGAAUGUUAAAGGUACA